rnacentral:pre_miRNA from 1 species
CAUGAGGGGGGUGGUCCCUCAGCCUGGAUUGUGAGAGGGCACAGGCCAGUUCAAGGGACCCCCACCAGUGUACA